CCGGCACGGUGAGUAACACGUAUCCAACCUGCCGUCUACUCUUGGACAGCCUUCUGAAAGGAAGAUUAAUACAAGAUGGCAUCAUGAGUCCACAUGUUCACAUGAUUAAAGGUAUUCCGGUAGACGAUGGGGACGCGUUCCAUUAGAUAGUAGGCGGGGUAACGGCCCACCUAGUCUUCGAUGGAUAGGGGUUCUGAGAGGAAGGUCCCCCACAUUGGAACUGAGACACGGUCCAA
rnacentral:rRNA from 1 species